rnacentral:rRNA from 1 species
GGCUCAGGAUGAACGCUAGCGGCAGGCUUAACACAUGCAAGUCGAGGGGCAGCGGGAUGUAGCAAUACAUUGCCGGCGACCGGCGGAUGGGUGCGUAACGCGUAUGCAACCUACCUUAGUACAGGGGAAUAACCUUUCGAAAGGGAGACUAACACCCCACAGUAUUGAUUUAAGGCAUCUUAGAUUAAUUAAAUAUUUAUAGGUAUAAGAUGGGCAUGUGUAUGAUUAGCUAGUUGGUAAGGUAACGGCUUACCAAGGUGACGAUCAUUAGGGGUUCUGAGAGGAAGGUCCCCCACACUGGUACUGAGACACGGACCAGACUCCUACGGGAGGCAGCAGUGAGGAAUACUGGUCAAUGGGCGCAAGCCUGAACCAGCCAUGCCGCGUGCAGGAAAGACGGCCUUAUGGGUUGUAAACUGCUUUUACAUAAGACUAACCGUAUAUUUGCGAAUAUACCUGAAUGUAUUAUGAGAAUAAGGAUCGGCUAACUCCGUGCCAGCAGCCGC